ACCCCCUGGGCUCCAAGUAGAGCCGCCCAUGAAAAAGAACAGUAAAAGCUCUAUCUUGGAGCAUUUAAAUACAAAUUUUAAGAACUAAAAGUUUUUUUUUUCCUUAUUGUGAUCUGGAAUACCUGUUAAACGUUCUAUCAGGAGACAGGAGCAGAUUGUGGUUGCCAUGUUUGUUGUGUGCACAACCUUUUUGUUGUCUUUGCAUCUUGGCCUCCCCAUCAAGGAGUCUGUAAGUUUUACGAGUGAUUUUAUGUCUAGUAUCAGGCUUAGCAAUCAAGAAGUUGAAGAAAGAAAAGCAUGAAAAAUCAAGGUCUUGGUCUCUGUUGUUUUAUUCCAGAACUGAUUUUAUCAAACUUGUCUAGGAAGCACCUUGUAGGCCUGUAGCCAAUGACCUUUGAUGCAUCUCCAAUAUUAAAAAAAUUAUUCGGAAAUACUGAGUAUUUUUUGUUUUCUGUUUUUUUUUUUUUGGCUAAACUUUGUGAAUUCCAAGAGGCAGAACUGAGGUAUAUGAAACUUCAUAUUGGGAUAGAAUAUAUGAGUUCAUUUUUGUCUUCUCUCCUUACCCUUCUCCUUCUUCUUGUCUAUUCUAUUUUACCUAUUUUUUUCAACCAUGUGAAUGGUUCGAGUCAUGUUUUUCUUUUGUCAAGUACUGCUUGGAAGGUAACCUCACAGGAAAUAAAUUUCGCAUGAGUGGAUGAGACUUGCAACUAUGUUAAGGUUGAUUGUUACAAAGGGAUAUACAAGUGUUAAAGUCUGGCCAAUGUUUUGAGGCUUAUGAGUGGUGCUUGACUAUUCUUUUGAUCCCUUGAACCAAGACCACGAUGGGACAAAAGCCUUGGAACUUGCGGGCUUUGAUUUCUUGGGCCUUGCUCCUGAGGGCGGCCGAAGAGUUCAGUCUUUCUUAGUGCAAGCAGCAGAAGCUCUUGUUGAAGGAAAGGGAUCUUCACACAAAUGUACUUCUUGGUGCGAUAGCAACUAUCUUCCAUCCAAAACAGCAUGUCAUGGAUUCAAGCAUGUAAAUUCGCCUCAAAAAAAAAAAAAAAAAAA